UGGUGGAGUGAUUUGUCUGGUUAAUUCCGAUAACGAACGAGACUCUAGCCUGCUAAAUUGACGGGCGAUCCCUUCGUGGGUCGACCCGAUUUGCUUCUUAGAGGGACAGGUGGCGUUCCUAGCCACGCGAAAUUGAGCAAUAACA
rnacentral:rRNA from 1 species